rnacentral:rRNA from 1 species
AGAGUUUGAUCAUGGCUCAGAACGAACGCUGGCGGCAGGCUUAACACAUGCAAGUCGAGCGCCCCGCAAGGGGAGCGGCAGACGGGUGAGUAACGCGUGGGAAUCUACCUUUUGCUACGGAAUAACUCAGGGAAACUUGUGCUAAUACCGUAUGUGCCCUUCGGGGGAAAGAUUUAUCGGCAAAGGAUGAGCCCGCGUUGGAUUAGCUAGUUGGUGGGGUAAAGGCCCACCAAGGCGACGAUCCAUAGCUGGUCUGAGAGGAUGAUCAGCCACACUGGGACUGAGACACGGCCCAGACUCCUACGGGAGGCAGCAGUGGGGAAUAUUGGACAAUGGGCGCAAGCCUGAUCCAGCCAUGCCGCGUGAGUGAUGAAGGCCCUAGGGUUGUAAAGCUCUUUCACCGGUGAAGAUAAUGACGGUAACCGGAGAAGAAGCCCCGGCUAACUUCGUGCCAGCCGCCGCGGUAAUUC